GUUUUCAACGUUCUGAAAGAUGUUCAAUGGAAAGAUAUGUCACUCUUAAUACACAAGGUUCACUUGGAGACUUAUGUCAUUGUUAUGUCACAGUUGUUUAGUUGCAAAUGAUUGUAAAGGGUUCUUAAGUUUGCCCCGUUUCACCUUGGUUCAUCAACUUGCUACUCCGUUCUUCCGGUGUAAUACUUGUUGCUUCAGCUGUGUUCUCCCUUUUCUCUGUAGGAGAGCUUAUGACAUGAAACCAAACUUUCUGAAGCCUGGCACCAGGGAAAACCCCACUUGAUUGGACACUGCCCCUGGCCUUUCAGCCUGAGGCUCUAUGCGUACGUUCCAUUCUGAUGGCCAACUGCAAGGACAAGGGAGAAGCUACAGGGCUUAAUCUAUGCUGUCUGACCUCUGACCCCCAGUCACUCUGCCUGAGCUACGAGUACCGCCCUGACCCUCACACAAGCUAACGCAGUC